UUUAAAUAUAGCAAAUGGCAAUAACUAUUAUCAAUUGGUAAAAAGUCCAUGUAAAUAGUGAAAACAAUUAUUUGUACUAGUAUUGACGCAGACAGUAUCAAAUUUGUGUCACACAUAUUAAAAAUAUAGAUAGGACAAGAAUAGGUCAAUUUUGGUUUAGGUCGCCCCGAUAGGACAAGAAUAGGUCAAUGGCGGUUAAGGUCGCCUUGAUAGGACAGGAAUAGGUCAAUUAUGGUUUAGGUCACCCCGAUAGGACAAUAAUAGGUCAAUAAUGGUUUAGGUUGCCCUGAUAGGACAAGAAUAGGUAAAUUAUGGUUUAGGUCACUCCGAUAGGACAAGAAAAGGUCAAUUAUGGUUGAGGUCGCCUUGAUAGGACAAGAAUAUGUCAAUUCUGGUUAAGGUCGCCCCAAAAAGACAAGAAUAGGUCAAUUAUGCGUUAGGUAACCCCGAUAGGACAAGAAUAGGUCAAUUAUGGUUUAGGUCGCCCCGAUAGGACAAGAAUAGGUCAUUUGUGGUUAAGGUCGCCCUGAUAGGACGAGAAUAGGUCAAUUAUGGUUAAGGUCAACCCGAUAGAACAAGAAUAGGUCAAUUAUGGUUUAGGUCACCCCGAUAGGACAAGAAUAGGUCAAUUAUGCUUUAGGUUACCCUGAUUGGAAAAGAAUAUGUCAAUUAUGAUUUAGGUCACUCCGAUAGGACAAGAAUAGGUCAAUUAUGGUUUAGGUUUCCCUGAUAGGACAAGAAUACGUCAAUUCUGGUUUAGGUCGCCCCGAUAGGACAAGAAUAGGUCAAUUAUGAUUUAGGUUGCCUUGAAAAGGACAAGAAUAGGUCAAUAAUGAUUUAGGUCGCCCCGAUAGGACAAUACUAGGUCAAUGCCGGUUUAGGUCGCAGUGGCAUAGUGAGUAUGGUGUCUGGCUAGUGAAAGGAAUGUCACGGUUUGACUCCAAGUGUGGAGGUAUUCUUUAGCUCUCCAACAAAGAUACCAAGUACUGAUUCUACCCAGGAAUCUUGGGUACAUUAAAAUAAGCCUAAGGCUCUCAAUGUUCGAUGCAAUUGAGCUUAAAUAAAUAUGUUUAAACUUAUGUUGGUCCACAGUUUAUUGUAUAUUCCCUAGGUAUUUAUUUUUUAUUUUCCACCUGUUUGUUUUGAAUUCCCCAGAUGUUUAUUUUCUAUUCCCCAUGGGUUUGUUUUCUAUUCCCCAGAUGUUUAUUUUCUAUUCCCCACAUGCCCAUUUUCUAUUCCCCAUGGCUGCAUUGGGAGGCCACGCCUACAUCUGCCAGACCCUAAUGAAAUACGGUGUCGACCCAAAUAUCAAGGACUCCUCAGGUCGAACUCCAAUACAGUGUGCGGCCUACGGGGGUUACGUCAAAAGUAUGUCUGUACUCCUUGAGCACGAGGCAGACCCUAACGCCAAUGACUGUGAGGGAAUGACUGCUUUUCACUGGGCAUGCAGUGAAGGUCACCUUGAUGCUGUGAAGCUACUGAUAGAAUACAGGAACAAACAUACAAAAGAAGAACAUAAUUGAGUCAAUGUUUUAACUCAUUUUUUCUCAAAUUUAAGAUAAGAAUAGUUACACCAUCGUUCUCAAUUUGGUCUGACUUAACCCUCAGUUUGGGGAGGAUAAUGUGCAUACUCUUAUAACGAAGAUUUGAUAUUGUUCGGGAGCUGAUAGACAUACUCAAUAUUUCAGCUCCUACAAAAAUUACCUGACCAAAUUAGCUUAGAGCGGCCCAUUGUGUAUUUUCCAUACACCCAAAGUAAUUUCCAUACACCCAGAAUAAUCGAAUAGUCGGUUCAGAUAUAAUGGUUACACAAUAGUAACUGAUGGUGUAUGGGAUGUCUUGAAAUAACGUAUUUGUAAUAAAUUAGAUUUUUAAGUCUCUAAUAUAGAUAAUUUCAUAUUAUUUUUUUACAUACAUAUUAAUAUUUAACAUUUAAAAGUAUUGUACCAGCAACUUCAAUCAUUAAUGAGCACCACGUGGUUUAAGUAGUUAACAAUAUAAAAAUAAGUAUUUAAGCCUUAACAUGUUCUAUAUUUAUGUUAACUUUUAACACCAUCUGAAUUUAUUAUUCAUGAAGAAAAUCUUUUUUUGUAACAUAGGGAGUUGGACUAUUUAUGAAUUUAAGUUACAAGACUAAAUUGUUUACUAAAUUCAAUAUGCAAACAAGGCAGACCCUGUUCAGAUUUGUCUGAUCUGGGUCAUCUCUGAUUGCUGUGUGAAAAUGCAGGAUUAUCAGAAAGCGCUAUGAUGAUAUAUUUCUGCCUUAAUCAGUGUCUUAACUUGUGUCCACUCAUUUUUGUGUGUGUGCCUUUUAGUUUAUUAUUAAUGGACAGGUCAUUGUAAGCCCCACAUAAAUUAAAUCAUACUUGUGAGCUUUCGUUACCAAAACAUAUUUUGCCAGAUGAAAAUUGACCAGACAUUGUCAGACCUUCAGCAGUUGAUUAGCACUCCAGGCUGCCAUGAGAUGAAGUUGGCUCAGUCACAGGUCAUCACAGAUGCUGGUUUUAAGGAGCACACCAUCGCCAUGUGCCCCAAGACUGAUAUAGCUAGUGCUAAAGAGAAAUUCAUUACUGCACUAUCAACUAUAUAGAGAAAAGGUUUCCAUAUAAAGAUAUGUUGUCAUCAUUUGGGGCUCUCUUAAUGAGGUUAAUUACACUGCUGUGUGAUGCUGGCCUGAAGACAUGGGGAGACGAAAAGAUUGAUACUCUUGUCCAUCACUUUCUUGAGGAAAACUUGAAAACCCAGAGGCCACGAAAAAGGAGUGGAAUGAAGUUAAGACACUGGUGAAAGCAGAAAUGUAUUCUGUAGAUUCUCUUUUUACACUUUGGCAUCUAAUAAAAAAGUUUCACAGUGAACAACAUCCUAACUUGUUGAAGAUGGCAAGUCUUGCAAUCCUUUGUCCAGUAAACACGACAGGCUGUGAACGGGGUCUUUCGGUACAAAAUCAAAUUCUAACAGGGCUUAAUCCUGACGACCAGGACAU